AAAACCUUGAAAAAGCGAUGACUUAAAACAUUGUAGUGAAACAGCAAACUAGUUUUUGUUUCAAGGAUGGCAAAGCUUUCUCCCUUUUUUUACUUCCUUCUGGCAUUCCUUAUUGUUAUCUCAGUUAAGAAGAUGGUGCUUGAGGUGGAUGCAAUUGCAAAUUUCUGCGAAAUAAUUAUAGGGGACUGCCCAAGCGUGGAUGAAUGCAAAUCCCAGUGCGCAACCAAAUACCCAGGGAGUGUGGCAUUUUGUGUUAAAACUGACCAUUAUUAUUGUAUGUGCAAAGUUUGUUGAUAGAAAGAAUGAUACCUUGAAGUGGUAA